rnacentral:rRNA from 1 species
CGAAAACUUUACAAUGCUGGCAACAGCGAUAAGGGAACCUCGAGUGCCAGGUUACAAAUCUGGCUGUCGAGAUGCCUAAAAAGCAUUUCAUAGCAAGGGCCGGGCAAGACCGGUGCCAGCCGCCGCGGUAACACCGGCGGCUCGAGUGGUAACCGUUAUUAUUGGGUCUAAAGGGUCUGUAGCCGGCCGGAUAAGUCUCUUGAGAAAUCUGGCAGCUUAACUGUCAGGCUUUCAGGAGAUACUGUCUGGCUCGAGGCCGGGAGAGGUGAGAGGUACUUCAGGGGUAGGGGUGAAAUCUUGUAAUCCUUGAAGGACCACCAGUGGCGAAGGCGUCUCACCAGAACGGACCUGACGGCAAGGGACGAAAGCUAGGGGCACGAACCG